GUGGGAAGAAAUCCACACCAUCUCGUGGUUUUACAGAAGCUGUAACAGUUGAUAAAACGGUUGUAUCACCGUAUUUUACUAAUGCAGCGCCAUUUGCCUGUGCACAAACUCUACCGAUAUCUACUGUAAGAGUUCUGCCUGCAAGUUCCAUUGAAAAACUUUUAAACAUAAUUUUCUCCUUUUUGUUGAAAACUCUGGAAUACACUUUCCAAAGCUUUCUCAAUAUAAAAUUUUUUAACAGAAGUCCGAAACUACUGAAACACACACGAA
rnacentral:antisense_RNA from 1 species